AGUGGAAAAGAACAAACAUUCCUAUCUGUGAAAAUGUUUCUGUGCACCAAAACACACACUCACUAUCUCACAGUCUUCUUCCUCUGUCUUUAUGUUAGUGGUAGUAAGCUCUAGAUUGUGUGUGUGUGUGUGUGUGUGUGUGUGUGAUUGUGUGUGUGUGUCAGUGAGUGUAGUAUGGAUCCACUGGCCUGUUAAAUAGAAAAAGAACAGAUUUCCUGUCUCCUUGUCUCUCUGGACCCCCUUUCUAAACUCUCCCAGGGGUGGAAGGGAUGGACUGAGGACCUCGCUGAGAACAUCUGUGACGGCCGGCCCCUGCAGAGACUGCAGUGUGACAGGGCCUAUCCACAGCAGAUGUCACACCAGUGUGUGUGUGUGUGUGUGUGAGAGAGAGAGAGAGAGAGAGAGAGAGAGAGAGAGAGAAAGAGAGAGUGUGUGUGUGUAAGUGUGUGUCUGUAAUCAGGGUUGAAAAGUCCAUGACCUAGUGAAAAUGUAGAGGAAAUGUUCUCACAGUGACUUCCUUCCUGUCCCUCUUUUCCAUUCUUCUUUCUUGUUCAGUCUUGUGUGUGUGUGUGUGUGUGUGUGUGUGUGUGUGUGUGUGUGUGUGUGUGUGUGUGUGUGUGUGUGUGUGUAAACAGAACAGUAAAAAGCCAAUAUCAUCCCUACAUUUCUAACCUUUUGUCUUUCUUUCUUUCUCCAUUUUCCUUCCAUUCUUCCCUUUUACCCAGAAACCAUUUGUCCUCUUUUCAUUGGCUAUAAUAAAAACUACAACAUGCCUUGCCCCGCAGCCUCUGCAUGUGAAAUGACAAAUGAGUGAUGAGAGUGCUGAUGCAGCAUUUCUCACAUUGUCCCCUCUGAUUCCCCAUCCAUUCUCUCUUCCCUCUGCUGUUUCAUUGUUAGACAUUUUCCGUUUUCUCCCCAUGCUCUCCCAUCUUUAUUCUUCUCUCUGCCUUCUCCCUCUCUGUUUUCUCAUAUAUCUGACCAUUUGCCUCUCGUCUCAUCCCCUCGCCUUCCUCUCUCUCUCGGUCGCUUUUACUUCUCUGCGGGUCGCAGUCUGGUCACACUCCCUGGUAACUGAAACUCUCAGUGGGGGCUACACUGAAACUGACCUAAAAUGCAGUUUAAAAAAAGAAGUGAAAAGCUAUUUUUAGGUUUCAUUUCCUUCAGGUCCAGAGAGAAUAGAGGGCAGCAAAUUAUCCUUUAUUCACCUUGCAUGAAUUCCCUCUUCUCGAGGGGGGGGGGGGGGGGUCAUCAGUUCUCUGAGACCUUGUAUCCUUGGCCUCACCUUUGAAAAUUCAACGUUUUCUGAAUUAAAGCAAAAAAACAACCAAAAAAAAAAAGAGUCUCUAAUAGCUGUACCGAAAAAUCCACGUCAUUUCAGCUUUUUUUAAAGAUGUGAUUAAAUUAGCUUAAAAUUAACUGAUUUUUAAAUCUGUUUUUUCCUCGUUUUUUGUUGACUUACAGUAUAUGUGUUUGCAUGUCAGACAGCCUGACAACCUGAAUACAUGUAGAAAAUUGUUUAUCAAGGUUACUUUAAUUCACCUUAAUAAAAGUGCUGCUAAAAUGCCA